rnacentral:rRNA from 1 species
UACAGAGGUCCCGAGCGUUGUUCGGAUUCACUGGGCGUAAAGGGCGCGUAGGCGGUUCGAUAAGUCCCGUGUGAAAUCCCUCGGCUCAACUGAGGAAUGGCACGGGAAACUGACGGGCUUGAGUUCGGGAGAGGGAAGCGGAAUUCCGGGUGUAGCGGUGAAAUGCGUAGAUAUCAGGAGGAACACCAGCGGCGAAGGCGGCGCUCUGGGCUGGAACUGACGCUGAGGAGCGAAAGCGUGGGGAGCGAACAGG